rnacentral:rRNA from 1 species
GGCUUAGAGUUUGAUCAUGGCUCAGGAUGAACGCUGGCGGCGUGCCUAACACAUGCAAGUCGAACGGAGAUUAACGCUGAAUUGAUAAUUAGCUUGCUAAGAGGAUUUUCUUGUUAAUCUUAGUGGCGGACGGGUGAGUAACACGUGAGCAACCUGCCUUUCAGAGGGGGAUAACGGCUGGAAACGGUCGCUAAUACCGCAUGAUAUAUUCGGAUGGCAUCGUCUGAAUAUCAAAGGAGCAAUCCGCUGAAAGAUGGGCUCGCGUCUGAUUAGAUAGUUGGUGAGGUAACGGCUCACCAAGUCGACGAUCAGUAGCCGGACUGAGAGGUUGAACGGCCACAUUGGGACUGAGAUACGGCCCAGACUCCUACGGGAGGCAGCAGUGGGGAAUAUUGCACAAUGGGGGAAACCCUGAUGCAGCAACGCCGCGUGAAGGAAGACGGUUUUCGGAUUGUAGACUUCUUUUCUUAGUGAAGAAGAAAGUGACGGUAGCUAAGGAAUAAGCAUCGGCUAACUACGUGCCAGCAGCCGCGGUAAUACGUAGGAUGCAAGCGUUAUCCGGAUUUACUGGGUGUAAAGGGAGCGCAGGCGGGACUGCAAGUUGGAUGUGAAAUGCCGGGGCUCAACCCCGGAGCUGCAUCCAAAACUGUAGUUCUUGAGUGGAGUAGAGGCAAGCG